GGAGGCAGCAGUGGGGAAUAUUGCACAAUGGGGGAAACCCUGAUGCAGCCAUGCCGCGUGUGUGAAGAAGGCCUUCGGGUUGUAAAGCACUUUCAGCGAGGAGGAAAGGUUGGCAGCUAAUAUCUGUCAGCUGUGACGUUACUCGCAGAAGAAGCACCGGCUAACUCCGUGCCAGCAGCCGCGGUAAUACGGAGGGUGCAAGCGUUAAUCGGAAUUACUGGGCGUAAAGCGCACGCAGGCGGUUGGAUAAGUUAGAUGUGAAAGCCCCGGGCUCAACCUGGGAAUUGCAUUUAAAACUGUUCAGCUAGA
rnacentral:rRNA from 1 species